CCAAGUUGACAGGUACCGGCGUAAAGAGUGGUUAAGGGAAAACACCAAACUAAAGCCGAACACCUUCAGAGCUGUCAUACGCUUCCGAAGGCAUGAAGCCCCACCACGAAAGUGGCUUUACUCCCCCCCGACUCCACGAAAGCUGCGGAACAAACUGGGAUUAGAGACCCCACUAUGCCCAGCCCUAAACUUUGAUGGCAUUUUACAUCCGCCAUCCGCCAGGGAACUACGAGCACUAGCUUAAAACCCAAAGGACUUGGCGGUGCUUUAGACCCACCUAGAGGAGCCUGUUCUAAAACCGAUAAUCCCCGUUAAACCUCACCCUCUCUUGUCAUUUCCGCCUAUAUACCGCCGUCGUCAGCUUACCCUGUGAAGGCACCAUAGUAAGCAAAACUAGUACAACCCAAAACGUCAGGUCGAGGUGUAGCAUAUGAGAGGGGAAGAAAUGGGCUACAUUCCCUACUCUAAGGAACACGAACAAUGUGAUGAAAAGCACAUUAGAAGGAGGAUUUAGCAGUAAGUAAGAAAUAGAGUGUCUUGCUGAAACUGGCCCUGAAGCGCGCACACACCGCCCGUCACUCUCCCCAAGCCAACUUUCAUAAAUACAUAAUACAUUUUAGGAAAAAAGGGGAGGCAAGUCGUAACAUGGUAAGUGUACCGGAAG
rnacentral:rRNA from 1 species